CUUGGAGUUCCCAUAUGCUAAACUCUUAUCCUGGAUUUGCGAUGCGCAUAAUGAGAUGUCAGUUUGCGUAUUGCACUUAUUGUGAACCGGUCGUAAGAGUCAAGGAAAUGCCAGCUCCUACAUCAUAUUUGUCCUCUAGUGAGGUGAAUUCACAGCCAAUCACAGGCAAGCGGAGCGUAACGAGAGUAAUCUCUUAAUUAACUUGGAAGUUAGAGUCUAAAUAGUUUUCAUAACUUGGGGCCAAAAGGUAAUCAAGCAGAAUGUUCAUGUAAAAGUCAAUGAUAGUGAAGCGAUAGUGAAAUCACUUAAAUGGAUCAAUCGAAAUCAAUUAGGUCAAAGUCUGGAAUGAAAUCUUCAUCUCAAAGAUUAUUGGAAUCAAUUAAUAGAAAGUGAUGGGAGGAAUGAUUAUUCAAAGAUUUUACGAUCACUUCAUUGGAUCAAUAGCAGUCUAGAAAUGUGAGGAACGAUGGAUGAGGUAACUUGCCCUUCCAUAAUGGGAAUCGCGUCCUCGUGAUCCUCAUUGAUAUCUACCAUGAUAUUUGCAUUGUUUAUCUUUGUUUUACAACAAAAGUAUAUUAUUGGCAAAAUAAUCAAUAUUGCGGUUUUCCAAAUGUUUAUGAUGAACAUAUUACAAAGUCAAAUUACUAUAUUCCCCACAG